GACGAACGCUGGCGGCGUGCCUAAUACAUGCAAGUUGAGCGCUGAAGGUUGGUACUUGUACCAACUGGAUGAGCAGCGAACGGGUGAGUAACGCGUGGGGAAUCUGCCUUUGAGCGGGGGACAACAUUUGGAAACGAAUGCUAAUACCGCAUAAAAACUUUAAACACAAGUUUUAAGUUUGAAAGAUGCAAUUGCAUCACUCAAAGAUGAUCCCGCGUUGUAUUAGCUAGGUGGUGAGGUAAAGGCUCACCAAGGCGAUGAUACAUAGCCGACCUGAGAGGGUGGUCGGCCACAUUGGGACUGAGACACGGCCCAAACUCCUACGGGAGGCAGCAGUAGGGAAUCUUCGGCAAUGGACGAAAGUCUGACCGAGCAACGCCGCGUGAGUGAAGAAGGUUUUCGGAUCGUAAAACUCUGUUGGUAGAGAAGAACGUUGGUGAGAGUGGAAAGCUCAUCAAGUGACGGUAACUACCCAGAAAGGGACGGCUAACUACGUG
rnacentral:rRNA from 1 species